GAUGAACGCUGGCGGCGUGCCUAAUACAUGCAAGUCGAGCGAGAAGCUACUUUGAAGCGUUUUCGGACAAUUCUGUGUAGUGGAAAGCGGCGGACGGGUGAGUAACGCGUAGGCAACCUGCCUUUCUGAUGGGGACAACAUCCCGAAAGGGGUGCUAAUACCGAAUGACGUAUGUUUCCCGCAUGGGAAAGAUACCAAAGAUGGCCUCUACUUGUAAGCUAUCGCAGAAAGAUGGGCCUGCGUCUGAUUAGCCAGUUGGCGGGGUAACGGCCCACCAAAGCGACGAUCAGUAGCCGGUCUGAGAGGAUGAACGGCCACAUUGGGACUGAGACACGGCCCAGACUCC
rnacentral:rRNA from 1 species